UACAGAGGGUGCGAGCGUUAAUCGGAUUUACUGGGCGUAAAGCGUGUGUAGGUGGCUUCCUAAGUCGAUUGUGAAAUCCCUGGGCUCAACCUGGGAAUUGCAGUCGAUACUGGGGAGCUCGAGUUCGGUAGAGGACGGCGGAAUUCCCGGUGUAGCGGUGAAAUGCGUAGAUAUCGGGAGGAACAUCGAUGGCGAAAGCAACCGUCUGGGCCUGAACUGACACUGAGACACGAAAGCGUGGGUAGCAAACAGG
rnacentral:rRNA from 1 species